AGAAAGGCACAGUGUGGAACUCGUUUCCGCGCGCGUUAAGUGGAUGUUCUCUUUGCUUAAUGAGCAAUAAUCAACACUGACUCCUCUUCUUGUUCCUGAGCUGCAUGCUGCGUUUUAAAUGUGCAGAGUUUGUGAGGGGGGACAGUGCAGCAGAGCAGCUGCCUCCAACAGGCCAACGUGAUCUUUUCGGAGAAGAGGAAAGAAUGGAUGGAUCAAACAAAAACUAUGAGACAUUACGGAUGUGCUGGGAUUUUCAAGAACCAAAAAAAACUUGAGGUCCUUCAUGCAGGCCCGAGUUACAGGGCAAUUAUGGAAAUGCAGCUUUGAAGCCAAGUAUAGCCUUCAUUCAGUUCCUCCUUGGGACAAAGGAAAAGCAACACAAGCUUUUAAUGCCCCCCACCCCCAAAUAAAACAUGUUUCAACAUC